rnacentral:rRNA from 1 species
AAAUGAAUUGACGGGGGCCCGCACAAGCAGUGGAGUAUGUGGUUUAAUUCGAAGCAACGCGAAGAACCUUACCAGGGCUUGACAUCCAACUAACGAAGCAGAGAUGCAUUAGGUGCCCUUCGGGGAAAGUUGAGACAGGUGGUGCAUGGUUGUCGUCAGCUCGUGUCGUGAGAUGUUGGGUUAAGUCCCGCAACGAGCGCAACCCUUAUUGUUAGUUGAUACAGGUAAAGCUGAUCACUCUAGCGAGACUGCCGUUGACAAAACGGAGGAAGGUGGGGACGACGUCAAAUCAUCAUGCCCCUUAUGUCCUGGGCUACACACGUACUACAAUGGCGCUAAACAGAGGGAAGCAAGGGAGCGAUCCGGAGCGAAACCCUAAACAGCGCCUCAGUUCAGAUUGCAGGCUGCAACCCGCCUGCAUGAAGUCGGAAUUGCUAGUAAUCGCGGAUCAGCAUGCCGCGGUGAAUACGUUCCCGGGCCUUGUACACACCGCCCGU